AACGAACGCUGGCGGCAUGCCUAACACAUGCAAGUCGAACGAGACCUUCGGGUCUAGUGGCGCACGGGUGCGUAACGCGUGGGAACCUGCCCUUAGGUUCGGAAUAACUCCCCGAAAGGGGUGCUAAUACCGGAUAAUGUCUUCGGACCAAAGAUUUAUCGCCUUUGGAUGGGCCCGCGUUGGAUUAGCUAGUUGGUAGGGUAAAAGCCUACCAAGGCGAAGAUCCAUAGCUGGUCUGAGAGGAUGAUCAGCCACACUGGGACGGAGACACGGCCCAGACUCCUACGGGAGGCAGCAGUGGGGAAUAUUGGACAAUGGGCGAAAGCCUGAUCCAGCAAUGCCGCGUGAGUGAUGAAGGCCUGAGGGUUGUAAAGCUCUUUUACCCGGGAUGAUAAUGACAGUACCGGGAGAAUAAGCUCCGGCUAACUCCGUG
rnacentral:rRNA from 1 species